rnacentral:rRNA from 1 species
GAUUUACUUAAUAAGUAUAUGUUAACGUUGCAUAGUUAUAUAUUGAUUAUUAAGUGGUAAUGAUAUGUUUAUCGAUUUUCAUGAUAGCUAGUUUAUUAGUGAUUAUAUUUAAGUAUUGUAAUGUUAAUACGGCGUAAGCCGUUUAACGUUAGUUUAUGUUGUGGGGGAUAAGCUUCACAUAGAGUUAUAGAGAGUGUUAAAUAUUAUUAGGCAAUUUAAGUAGAAUUAAUAAUGUUUUUCUUUUAAAGUAGUUUAAAUUGAAUGAGUAAAUUGGUUAAGUCUCAUGUUGUAUAACUAAUAAAUGCUUAUGAAUUUACAAGUAAGUAAAUAUAAUGUUGAUAUGAGUAUUAGUUGGAAUUCGAUAGUUAAUAUAUUUGAAAAUGUUGUAGUUGCGAAUAGUUUAUAUUAAGAGAAAGUUAAUUAAAGUGAAGGAAUUCGGCAAAUAUUAAUCUCGCCUGUUUAUCAAAAACAUGUCUCUUUGUGAAAUAUAAAUAAAGAG